rnacentral:rRNA from 1 species
CUCGGGUUACCGAAUUCAGAUAAACUCCGAAUGCCAUGUACUUAUACUCGGGAGUCAGACUGCGAGUGAUAAGAUCCGUAGUCGAAAGGGAAACAGCCCAGACCACCAGUUAAGGUCCCCAAAUAUAUGUUAAGUGGAAAAGGAUGUGGGGUUGCUUAGACAACCAGGAUGUUGGCUUAGAAGCAGCCACCAUUGAAAGAGUGCGUAAUAGCUCACUGGUCGAGUGACCCCGCGCCGAAAAUGUACCGGGGCUAAACAUAUUACCGAAACUGUGGAUGAACCUCUUUAGAGGUUCGUGGUAGGAGAGCGUUCUAAGGGCGGUGAAGUCAGACCGGAAGGACUGGUGGAGCGCUUAGAAGUGAGAAUGCCGGUAUGAGUAGCGAAAGAAGGGUGAGAAUCCCUUCCACCGAAUAUCUAAGGUUUCCUGAGGAAGGCUCGUCCGCUCAGGGUUAGUCGGGACCUAAGCCGAGGCCGAUAGGCGUAGGCGAUGGACAACAGGUAGAGAUUCCUGUACCAGUGCUAAUUGUUUAACCGAUGGGGUGACACAGAAGGAUAGGGAAUCGCACGAAUGGAAAUGUGCGUCCAAGCAGUGAGUGUGAGAAGUAGGCAAAUCCGCUUCUCGCGAAGCAUGAGCUGUGAUGGGGAAGGAAAUUAAGUACGGAAGUUCCUGAUUUCACGCUGUCAAGAAAAGCCUCUAGGAAGAGUAGUACUGCCCGUACCGCAAACCGACACAGGUAGAUGAGGAGAGAAUCCUAAGGUGAGCGAGAGAACUCUCGUUAAGGAACUCGGCAAAAUGACCCCGUAACUUCGGGAGAAGGGGUGCUCUAUUAGGGUGCAAGCCCGAGAGAGCCGCAGUGAAUAGGCCCAGGCGACUGUUUAGCAAAAACACAGGUCUCUGCAAAACCGUAAGGUGACGUAUAGGGGCUGACGCCUGCCCGGUGCUGGAAGGUUAAGAGGAGUGCUUAGCUUCGGCGAAGGUACGAAUUGAAGCCCCAGUAAACGGCGGCCGUAACUAUAACGGUCCUAAGGUAGCGAAAUUCCUUGUCGGGUAAGUUCCGACCCGCACGAAAGGCGCAACGAUCUGGGCACUGUCUCAACGAGAGACUCGGUGAAAUUAUAGUACCUGUGAAGAUGCAGGUUACCCGCGACAGGACGGAAAGACCCCGUGGAGCUUUACUGCAACCUGAUAUGGAAUGUUUGUACCGCUUGUACAGGAUAGGUAGGAGCCGAAGAGACGUGUGCGCUAGCAUACGAGGAGGCAAUGGUGGGAUACUACCCUGGCUGUAUGACCAUUCUAACCCGCCACGCUUAGCGCGUGGGGAGACAGUGUCAGGUGGGCAGUUUGACUGGGGCGGUCGCCUCCUAAAGAGUAACGGAGGCGCCCAAAGGUUCCCUCAGAAUGGAUGGAAAUCAUUCGCAGAGUGUAAAGGCACAAGGGAGCUUGACUGCGAGACUGACAAGUCGAGCAGGGACGAAAGUCGGGCUUAGUGAUCCGGUGGUUCCGCAUGGAAGGGCCAUCGCUCAACGGAUAAAAGCUACCCCGGGGAUAACAGGCUUAUCUCCCCCAAGAGUCCACAUCGACGGGGAGGUUUGGCACCUCGAUGUCGGCUCGUCGCAUCCUGGGGCUGUAGUCGGUCCCAAGGGUUGGGCUGUUCGCCCAUUAAAGCGGCACGCGAGCUGGGUUCAGAACGUCGUGAGACAGUUCGGUCCCUAUCCGUCGCGGGCGCAGGAAAUUUGAGAGGAGCUGUCCUUAGUACGAGAGGACCGGGAUGGACACACCGCUGGUGUACCAGUUGUUCCGCCAGGAGCAUCGCUGGGUAGCUAUGUGUGGCAGGGAUAAACGCUGAAAGCAUCUAAGCGUGAAGCCCCCCUCAAGAUGAGAUUUCCCAUUUCUUCGGAAAGUAAGAUCCCUGAAAGAUGAUCAGGUAGAUAGGUUUGGAGUGGAAGUGUAGCGAUACAUGGAGCGGACAAAUACUAAUCGAUCGAGGACUUAACCAA